rnacentral:rRNA from 1 species
GAUCCUGGCUCAGGACGAACGCUGGCGGCGUGCCUAACACAUGCAAGUCGAACGGGACUUGCCCCUUCGGGGACAAGUUUAGUGGCGGACGGGUGAGUAACGCGUGAGCAACCUACCUUUCAGUGGGGGACAACAGUUGGAAACGACUGCUAAUACCGCAUAACACUUAUUUAGGGCAUCUUAAAUAAGUCAAAGAUUUAUUGCUGAAAGAUGGGCUCGCGUCUGAUUAGCUAGUUGGUGGGGUAACGGCCCACCAAGGCGACG